AUGGACGCCCUGCACUGCCCCCACCAGGAUUGCGCUGCCUUGCCCUGCCCGAUCGAUGCCGGCUACGUCGCUACACUCCCCACGGCCAGGCCCUCCUCCUUAGUGCAUGAUGAUGGUGAAGACUUUGCAGGUGUUCAGAGAAAUGAUGUGCUAUUCAAGGGGUUUGGGAGCACUAAUAAAGAAUCUCUUGCUGAACUUUUUGUACCACUAAUGAUUAAAAACAUGAUUAAGCCACAUGAUUCCAUCAUGUAG
rnacentral:rRNA from 1 species